rnacentral:lncRNA from 1 species
AGUCCGGCGCCGGAUCGCGGUUGCCCAGCGCGCUGUGCCCUGCCGGGGGCGGGCCACGUUUGAUCUCCGGGCCCGCAGCAAGGGAUCGCGAAGGUUGGCCUCCGGUUCUGCCGAUAGGGACGGGGGGAGGGGGCGUACAAAACACCCGCGCAGUCUGGCUAAUGAUAGGCGGGCCGUGGGGAGGGGGAGGGGCGGAGCGCAAAACGCCGGGUUUGAAUCUUGGAAUUAAAAAGAGGGCAGGGGCUGGGCGCGGUGGCUCACUCCUGUAAUCCCAGCACUUUGGGAGGCCGAGGCGGGCGGAUCACAAGGUCAGGAGUUCAAGACCAGCCUGGCCAAUAUGGCGAAAACCCGUAUCUACUAAAAAUACAAAAAACAAAAUUAGCCAGGCGUGGUGGCACGCGCCUGUAGUCCCAGCUACUUGGGAGACUGAGGCAGAAGAAUCGCUUGAACCUGGGAGGCGGAGGUUGCAGUGAGCCGGGAUCGCGCCACUGCACUCCAGCCUGGGCGACAGAGCGAGACUCCGUCUCAAAAAGAAAAAAAAAGAAAAAAAAGAGGGCAGGAAGAGGAAACAACAGUUGCGGAGCUGGACUUGAUGGAAGGGAGCAUUUGCGUGCGGCGCGCAGGGCACUGAGUCACCAUCGUGGCCGCGUCCUCGCGCUCUCCUAGCGAUUUCUCCGGAGAAAGCGGAGCAAGGUCAGCCGGGCAGCCCUUCAAGGACGGCGCGCCGCUCCUGCAUGCUGAUGGCCUGCGGGGCUGCCUGCCCGUGCCCCGGCGCCCAACUCCUACAAGGAAGAAAUUCAGGGGCUCCCCGCCCCCGCCACAGUCCUCUUCCCCCUCCCCAGCUGCAACUCGGCAGCCGUUCGUCAAAGACCCUGUUGUCACCGAGACACUGGGACCUUGUCUCAUCCUUGGAACCACUCGUAAAUCUUAGGUCAGGCAGCCGGCAGCCUUCGGGGACCACAGUCCCCCCAAAGCUUUAGGAAGCCAGUUACUACAUCCGGAAAGAUUCGUGCUUCAGAACGCAAGCCAGGGAGAAUAAUCACAGAAACGCAAUGCGAAUGUCGUGCCUCUCAGAAAUUCUUAGCCUGAAAUACCGUCCCCACCCCCCAACCCGGCCAGGCGACAGUCCUGUCAUCCUAACACCGCAGAGGCUCCAAGCGCUGGGAGUCGUGUGCCCGCGGCGCUCGCCACUGAGGCCGGUUGGAAGAUUCUAGGGUGCCCCUUCCCAGGUUCCAGCAGGCACUCCGGGAUGUUCUAGAGUCAGGCCAGGGAUUCAACAGCGAACCUGACCGAAACUCAAACCUCAGCACAAGAACUUUGAUGGGGGAAGUGCCCAGACUCCAAUACUCUCGACCUUGGCAUUUAGUAGUUUCUUCUUUGAACUGGAAAGAUCAAAUAAUGCACAGUAAAAUCUCAUGAUAAGGGUUCCACCAAGAAUUCGGGAUUUGUGUUAAUUCAUAAGGCAGAAGUGGCCCCUGUGCUAUCCAUGAAGAGUUUCUGUAUUUCUCUGCAAGGUCACAGGUAUUGAUCUAGGCGCUGCUGUGAAGGGAAUUUGCAGAUGUAAUUGGCCUAAAUCAGUUGGCUUUAAUAUCAGGAAAUUGUCCUCAGUGGGCAUGGCCAUAUGGAGCCCUUACAAGGGACUGGGCUCUUCCUGGUGAAAAAGAUUUGAAUCACGAGAGUGGCUGAUAUGAGGGAAAUUCUUUGCUGUUGCCUUCGAAGACAGAAGAGGUCCACAAGGCAAAGGAUGCAGACAGCCUGUAGGAGCUGAGACUGGCUCCUGGCUGACAGCCAGCAAGGAAAUGAGGACCUCAGUCCUCCAAUCAUGAAGCAGACUCCGACUUCUGCUAACAACCUGAAUACACUUCAAAGAGGAUUCUGAGCUCCAGCCGCCUACACAUUGAUUUCAGCUGUUGGGACCCUCAGCCGAGAACCCAGCUAUGCCGUGCCCAGAUGUAAGACCUACACAUCUGUGAGCUUGUAAGUGUGUGUUGCUUUAAGCCACUAAGUUUGUGGUAAUAUGUUUCACUGCAAUAUGAAACUAAUACUUCUGUGUGCAGUUAUAGUUUGUUCAAUCUUAUUGCUAUAUAGUAUGCCAUCAAACGACUGUGGCACAACUUAUCCAUUCUACAGCUGAUGGACAUCUGGGUAGUUGCUGCCAUCAGCCUUCCAGUGCAUGGUUUUUUGGGUGAAAACAUGCAUGCAUAUCUGCUGGGUAUCUAUUUCUAGAAGUAAAAUUGCUAGGUCAGAGAGUAUACAUAUGUUCAGCUUUAGCAAUUACUGCCAAAGUUUUUCCAAAGGGAAAAUUAUUUUUAAUAGGUAUUUUAUCCAGAUUUGCCACGACCUAAUAAGGAAUUCGUCCCCACAAUAAAACUAACUGGCUAACCUAAUAGCAAAAAGCCCACCCAAUCAAGAGCCAAGAUAGUUGAGGGACAACAACAGCUCCAAAGGCACCCACUCUCCCUUGAGGAGGUACUCAACAGUUAGGUCUCCUGCAUGAAUUGGCAGUGAAUGAGAUUGAUGCUGGCAUUAGGAAUAGCUAGAACUUUGCAGCAAGACUCUAUGUAGAAUAGAUUUUGGUCACUUGAUCCUCUGCACAUGAUCAGCAAUAGUCCAGUGGUCUCUGCUGACACUGCUCUUCUAAUCCUAAUGGCAUUUUAAUUCUGACUAUCUUCAUAUCAGAGGUAUCUUUAACACACACACAAACACCUCACAGGCAUCUCUAGUGAAGCUGGAGACCUAAGAUCUCAAAACAUGGAGGUCUGAAGUCCCUUUUGUUCCUAUCAGUAUGGAGCUAGAUUCCAUUUUAAGCCAAAUUUAUAUUCUGAUUGUAGAAUUGCAGCAAACACUCAGAAGGCCUUGCAAACAAAAGAGUAAACACAUGGAUAAAUGAUCACUAUGCCAGAUUCAGUGAACACCAUUUUUAUAUUCUAAUUGCCAGGAAUGGGGACAGCUGCAUCAUUGUUUAAAACACACACUCAUGCACAAUUAAGCCAGAACAAAUGUCAACACUGGCACCAUCUGCUAAAUUACUGAUAACUGAUGAGCAUUACUCAUGCUGUGAGCAUUGUCUCCAAUAUAAAAUGGAAAGACUUUUUCAAAAACUUAGAGGUUUCUACCAGUUUUAAAAAGCCAGUUUUUAUAUCAUACAGCACAACUGCAACCUGUCAGAUUAUGUAAGUGACAUUUCACCCAUGUGUUCGAGGAGUAUGUGAUAAGUACAUGCUGUUUUUGUGCCUCUUUACAUUUAUGUUAACAAGCCAGGCCUUCAAGAGGCUGAUUCCUGGCUCUGGGACACUUUGUCUGUGAUGAGGGUAUCUUGCUGUCAGGUGAGCAGAAAUGCCCAGUUAUAACCUUGUAAUCAGAGAGCCAGGGUUUUGCCAUUACAUGGUCAACUGCAGACACAAGACUCUACUUCAUCAGUCUCGUUUUUAAUAAAUUAUAUAACAGAAAAAUGAUUUAAACCCCUUGUUCAGUCCCCUUAUGAAGUACAAAUUGUAUCCAAUAUAAUUUAUGAAAAAUCAUUUAUAAUCUUGAACCUGGAGAUGAAGCCACCUUUCAGCUUUCAUAUCUCCAAGCUGAGAAGCAUCCUCCUGCCUGUCUCAGCAUCACUCCCAGAUAUUCUUCUCCUGCAUUUGUUCCAAUUUAUCCAGUUUGUUUCAAAGGGUAGAGAUAUUAUUAUUAGUAAUCCAUAAACCACCUGAUGCAUCAUAGUACAGAAAGAUUCUCUUGCACCUCAGGCAUGUCACACUCCUACAGUAUGUUCCUGUACUUGCCAGAAACAGCAUCACUGGAAUAAGGUCACUCAGAUCACAUUCAGAUGACAUGCUGGACAUAAUGGACCUAGAAUCUCCUUUUCUUACCUUAAAGGCUGGGCUGUAGGGUAGAAACACUUGGAUCAGGUUCUGCCCUUUGAUGAAUUCAGCUAAGAGAAUGUAUUUUUUAAUUUCCAAGCCAGUGCAAGCCCCUAGACGCAUUUUGUUGGUGGUCUGUAUAAUGCUGAGACUUUCAGAGGAAUGCCCUAUAAAUACAGCUGCUUAAAAAUGUUUAAUAUUCCUUGGGUACCUGAGAAGAGAAAAGGGAUGAGUGUUCCACUGUGAUCAUCUACUUCUGAAGCACCAAGGGAUGUUUCAAAUCCUAACACCAUGGCCACAGUAAAGCAUGUGUCAUUUAACCACCAUCCUAAAUUCUAAAAGCUCCAUGCAUUGGGUAGACAUGGCUAGUAUGGACACUAUGUGCUAGACAUUGUAUGACAUGCUAGGGAAACGAGAAUCAGUCAUUCACAGUCUGUGCCUAGAAAGGAGUUUAAAUUCCCAUGAGGAAGACAGACAGUGCCCUAUAGUAGGAUUAAGAUCUGUCUAACCCAAAUUGGGAGUGACAGAGAGGUCAGUGGGCAGGGGGCAGAAUGGCAAGGAAGGUUUCCAGAGGAGGUAGUGUUUGACCUGAAUUGUGAUGCGUGAGGACGUUCAGCCAGGUAAAGAGGUGGGACAAGGUACUGUAGGUGGAGGCUGGCAGUGGGUGAUGGGGUACAGUUGGCUCAACACGGCUGAAGAGAUUAGGCUGGGUGGGUGAGUGCGAGACAGAGCACAGAGAAUUGGGAUUUUAUCCAUGAAACCAUUGCAAGAUUUUAAGUAGGGGAAUGAUAUGAUCAGAUUUGCAUUUUAGAUAAUCAAGCUGCAGGCUAGUGGAGCACAGUUUGAGGGUUCAAAGACUGAAAAGGCACGGAGAUGCCGGCUUGUCUUUCUUUUCCCUGAUCAGACCAGACCCCUUCCCUUGGCCUCCCCUUCCCACCACAUACCUCAUUGGCAGGCAGCCCUACUAUGAGCUCAUAUUAUUGUACCAAUUUGAGAAUUAAUUAUCUGCCUCCUUCCAGGGUAGCAGGAAAAGAGUAGAGAAACAUGAUUACUGACUGCUUUAUAGAAGCUGUCACCAUAUUAAGUGCUUCAUCAUUCAAUUCACCUGAGAUGCAUGGAAAUAGGUUAAGCUUGAUUGAGGCUGGUCCACCGCAAAACUGUGCAGUUAGCAGAGUUUGUUUUUGGUACAUAUACCCUUUUGUUACUCUGCAGCCCCCUCUGCUCUAUAGGUUCCUGGUAUAAUAACACUCUCUUCCCCUCCCUUUUGGAACCUCUGCUCUUGGGAAAGGCUUUGAUAGCUUUCUCUUAAAUACUAGUGUUCCUGAUGGGAGAAAUUUAACCUGAAGCAUCCUCUCUGACUGCAAUGAAGGUGUUGUCCUGUUAGAACUGCACUCAGAGCACUGUAAAGAAUUAUAUAAGUAGCCAUCACCUUAACCACAUCCUCAAACAUUUUCAAUGCAAUCUAGCGGAGAAUGAUUUUCUGAAAGAAUACAUAUCUGAUUUUAUAACAGAAAUAAAUGGAAAUAUGAUUUGUUUUAUAGAAAAUGUCUUGCCCUCUAACUAUUAAUAUGUCAAUAUUUAUAUAUGAACUACAAUAAGAACAGCUACAACAAGAUUGAUGUAUACUGCCUGAACGCCCUGAAAAUAGAUCAUUGUCCGCAAGUGUAGUUACCAAUAUAACAGCCUAGUCUUGCUGUGCUAUGAGUUUGCCUGGAUUGCCAUUACUUAUAGGCCAAGUAGACUGUGGUGAAUGCCAGAUACUAGCCAACUUUUUCUGAAAGAGCCAGAUGAUAAAUAUCAUAAACUUUGUGGCCCAGACAGGUUCUGUUGCAACUCCCAACUCUGCCACUGUAGUGUGAAAACAUAGACAAUGGAGAACGAAUGUGAAUGGCCAGAGUUGCUCCACAGGAUUGCUAACUCCUGCUCCACACUUUGUGAUAUGCAGAUCCCAUGCAAGAAGUCCCACCUCAUUUCCCUGAAGAGUCACCAUAAAAGGCAUUCCAUGUUUAGACAUCAUAUUUACAAAGGCCUAAUAAAUAAUAACAUGUUAAUCUAUUAUCCACCAUCAACAUGUUAGCACAGUUUUAUUUAUCCUUGAAGUGAACCUGGAGAUCACAGGAUGACCUUUCUAUGCAUACACUCUCCUCUAACUUUGACCAGCGGUCUCAUAAAUACACGUCCCAGGUCACCAUGGACAACUAAACAAAUAUAUGGGUUGCUUGGUGAGAUUUCACCUCCACUUAUGAAGACAAUAAAUUCUUGUGUCCUAAAAGUCAGUGUGUCAGUUAAGGUCUUUUCACGAAAGUAACAGGAACCAUAGAGAAAUUCAUUAUCUCACAUAUCAG